rnacentral:precursor_RNA from 10 species
AGAAGGAAAAGGAAGAUAACCAUUGCCAUAGUGCAUUGUAGUUGCAUUGCAUUUCAACUAAGUGUGCAAUGCUUCUGCAAAGCAAAUAUGGAGCUGGUUGUUAUCAUCAGGAGGAAGA